GACGAACGCUGGCGGCGUGCCUAAUACAUGCAAGUAGAACGCUGAAGGAGGAGCUUGCUCUUCUGGAUGAGUUGCGAACGGGUGAGUAACGCGUAGGUAACCUGCCUGGUAGCGGGGGAUAACUAUUGGAAACGAUAGCUAAUACCGCAUAACAGUAGAUGUCGCAUGACAUUUGCUUAAAAGGUGCAAUUGCAUCACUACCAGAUGGACCUGCGUUGUAUUAGCUAGUUGGUGAGGUAACGGCUCACCAAGGCAACGAUACAUAGCCGACCUGAGAGGGUGAUCGGCCACACUGGGACUGAGACACGGCCCAGACUCCUACGGGAGGCAGCAGUAGGGAAUCUUCGGCAAUGGACGGAAGUCUGACCGAGCAACGCCGCGUGAGUGAAGAAGGUUUUCGGAUCGUAAAGCUCUGUUGUAAGAGAAGAACGAGUGUGAGAGUGGAAAGUUCACACUG
rnacentral:rRNA from 1 species